UACAGAGGGGGCAAGCGUUGUUCGGAAUUACUGGGCGUAAAGGGCUCGUAGGCGGCUGUCUAAGUCGGACGUGAAAUCCCAUGGCUUAACCAUGGAACUGCGUCCGGUACUGGACAGCUUGAAUCCAAGAGAGGGAUGCGGAAUUCCAGGUGUAGCGGUGAAAUGCGUAGAUAUCUGGAGGAACACCGGUGGCGAAGGCGGCAUCCUGGAUUGGUAUUGACGCUGAGGAGCGAAAGCCAGGGGAGCAAACGGG
rnacentral:rRNA from 1 species